UGGGGAAUUUUGGACAAUGGGGGAAACCCUGAUCCAGCCAUUCCGCGUGAGUGAAGAAGGCCUUCGGGUUGUAAAGCUCUUUCGCAAGGAAAGAAAACUUAUCCUCUAAUAUAGGGUGAGGUUGACGGUACCUUGAUAAGAAGCACCGGCUACCUACGUGCCCGCAGCCGCGGUAAUACGUAGGGUGCGAGCGUUAAUCGGAAUUACUGGGCGUAAAGCGUGCGCAGGCGGUUCGACAAGUCUGAUGUGAAAUCCCCGGGCUCAACCUGGGAACUGCGUUGGAAACUGUCGGGCUAGAGUGUAGAAGAGGGGGGUAGAAUUCCACGUGUAGCAGUGAAAUGCGUAGAGAUGUGGAGGAAUACCGAUGGCGAAGGCAGCCCCCUGGGCUAACACUGACGCUCAUGCACGAAAGCGUGGGGAGCAAAC
rnacentral:rRNA from 1 species